UACGGAGGGGGCUAGCGUUGUUCGGAAUUACUGGGCGUAAAGCGCGCGUAGGCGGCUUUGUAAGUUAGAGGUGAAAGCCCGGAGCUUAACUCCGGAACUGCCUUUAAGACUGCAUCGCUAGAAUCGUGGAGAGGUGAGUGGAAUUCCGAGUGUAGAGGUGAAAUUCGUAGAUAUUCGGAAGAACACCAGUGGCGAAGGCGACUACCUGGCCUGUUCUUGACGCUGAGGCGCGAAAGCUAGGGGAGCAAACGGG
rnacentral:rRNA from 1 species